rnacentral:rRNA from 1 species
UCCCUAUCUGCCGUGGGCGUUGGAAGAUUGAAGGGGGCUGCUCCUAGUACGAGAGGACCGGAGUGGACGAACCUCUGGUGUUCGGGUUGUGUCGCCAGACGCAUUGCCCGGUAGCUAAGUUCGGAAUUGAUAACCGCUGAAAGCAUCUAAGCGGGAAGCGAGCCCUGAGAUGAGUCUUCCCUGACAGUUUAACUGUCCUAAAGGGUUGUUCGAGACUAGAACGUUGAUAGGCAGGGUGUGUAAGCGCUGUGAGGCGUUGAGCUAACCUGUACUAAUUGCCCGUGAGGCUUAACCAUACAACACCCAAAGGGUUUUG